rnacentral:rRNA from 1 species
UACGUAGGGUGCAAGCGUUGUCCGGAAUUAUUGGGCGUAAAGAGCUCGUAGGCGGUUUGUCGCGUCUGCUGUGAAAACUCGGGGCUUAACUCCGGGCCUGCAGUGGGUACGGGCAGACUAGAGUGCGGAAGAGGCGAGUGGAAUUCCUGGUGUAGCGGUGAAAUGCGCAGAUAUCAGGAGGAACACCAAUUGCGAAGGCAGCUCGCUGGGACGUUACUGACGCUGAGACGCGAAAGCGUGGGGAGCAAACAGG